rnacentral:rRNA from 1 species
AUUCCAGCUCCAAUAGCGUAUAUUAAAGUUGUUGCAGUUAAAAAGCUCGUAGUUGGAUUUCAGAGUGAGCUCGUCCGGUCGGCCUAAAUGGUCUGAACUGGUUGACUCUCUCUUGCUUGUGGAUCCCGCCCGGAGUUAACUCUUCGGAUGUGGACUUCACAUCGUUUACCUUGAAAAAAUUAGAGUGUUCAAAGCAGGCGUAUGCUUGAAUAUAUUAGCAUGGAAUAAUGGAAUAGGACCCUGGUUCUAUUUUGUUGGUUUUGAGGACCAGAGUAAUGAUUAAUAGGGAUAGUUGGGGGCAUUCAUAUUUCAUUGUCAGAGGUGAAAUUCUUGGAUUUAUGAAAGAUGAACUUAUGCGAAAGCAUUUACCAAGGAUGUUUUCAUCG